rnacentral:ncRNA from 1 species
GAUAAUUGGCUAAUGGUGGCCAAGUGCCCAUAGCAACGUAGCUUUUUGAUCCUUUGAUGUCAGUUCCUCUAUCAUUGUGAAGCAGAAUUCACCAAGCACUCACCAAUUAAUAGGGAAUGUGCGCUGGGUUUAGACCACAGUGAGACAGGGUU